GACGAACGCUGGCGGCGUGCCUAACACAUGCAAGUCGAACGGAAAGGCCCUGCUUUUGUGGGGUGCUCGAGUGGCGAAGGGGUGAGUUACACGUGAGUAACCUGCCCUUUACUUUGGGAUAACUUCAGGCAACUGGGGCUAAUACCGGAGAGGAGCUCCUGCUGCAUGGUGGGGGUUGGAAAGUUUCGGCGGUUUGGGAUGGACUCGCGGCUUAUCAGUUUGUUGGGUGGGUAGUGGUAUACCCAGGCAUUGACUGGUAGCCGACCUGGGAGGGUGACCGGGCCCAUUAGGCCUGCGAUACGGCCCAGACUGGAACGGGAGGCAACGGUGGGGAGUAUUAUCCAAUGGUGGGGAGCCUGAUGCGACAGCGCCGCGUUCGGGAAGACGGCCAUGUGGUUGGGAACCGCAUUCGCCUGAGACGAAGCGUGAGUGACGGUAACAGGAGAAGAAGCACCGGCUAACUACGUG
rnacentral:rRNA from 1 species